rnacentral:tRNA from 1 species
UACUUGAAAGCGAAAUGUCGCACUAAGUUUCGGCCUUAGCUUUGAGUUAUUUGUCUCUCAAGUAU